GUCUGUGGUCAUACCACCCUCAAUGUGCCCAGUCUCAUCUGAUCUCGGAAGCUAAGCAGGGUUAGGCCUGGUUAGCAUUUGGAUGGGAGAAAUUAUUAUGUUUCCUGUAAUCUUAAACU
rnacentral:rRNA from 1 species